GACGAACGCUGGCGGCGUGCCUAAUACAUGCAAGUAGGCCGCAGUUGCGAACGGGUGAGUAACGCGUAGUUAACUGCCUAUUAGAGGGGGAUAACUAUUGGAAACGAUAGCUACAACCGCAUACAAGUAGAUGGACCUGCGUUGUAUUAGCUAGUAGGUAGGGUAAUGGCCUACCGAGGCGACGCGACAUAGCCGACCUGAGAGGGUGAUCGGCCACAUGGGGACUGAGACACGGCCCAGACUCCUACGGGAGGCAGCAGUAGGGAAUCUUCGGCAAUGGGGGGAACCCUGACCGAGCAACGCCGAGUGAGUGAAGAAGGUUUUCGGAUCGUAAAGCUCUGUUGUUAAGGAAGCGGUACUUAACCAGAAAGCGACGGCUAACUACGUGCCAGCAGCCGCGGUAAUUC
rnacentral:rRNA from 1 species